UACAGAGGUCCCAAGCGUUGUUCGGAUUCACUGGGCGUAAAGGGUGCGUAGGCGGUCGGGUAAGUCUGAUGUGAAAUCUCACAGCUCAACUGUGAAACUGCAUUGGAUACUAUUCGGCUUGAGGUCUGGAGGGGGGACUGGAAUUCUCGGUGUAGCAGUGAAAUGCGUAGAUAUCGAGAGGAACACCAGUGGCGAAGGCGGGUCCCUGGACAGGUCCUGACGCUGAGGCACGGAAGCUAGGGGAGCAAGCAGG
rnacentral:rRNA from 1 species